ensembl:lncRNA
CCAUUGUACCUCAGCAAUGGAUUACGCCUCGGUGGAUAAUAAAGUAGCAGUGUAGUAUCAGUGGAUGUUGAGUGAGUGAGAGUACUAUUGCGGGUCGGGGAGGGUUAGAGAACCACAGGCACAAGGUCGUAGCAUCUUGUCCAAUCUGAGGGGUGUAGUUUAAAUAAAUGUACGGUAUAGGUUUGUAUUGAUUGAUUUUUUUUUUUUUGCGUAGUUUCAGCUGGCAUUUCGUACCUGCGUAUUUUGAUUAAGAAUUGCGUGGUUGGUACACAAAAUGCGUGCAGGUUGGCAGGUCUGCAAUCACUGUAAUAACGUGUUCGAGCAGGGCAAAGUGUUUGCGUGUGUGUGUGGGGACCUUCUCUCCUUUCAUCAUCAGAACUCCACUGGAAGGUGUUGCUGCAGCCUGUCCACUGAUCCCUUUAAAAAGUCUCCUACUUCCAGCAUCUAACUAUCCUAUCCAAAGUUCUACCAUACAUUGCCUAAAAUGCAUCACCUACACAUAUGAUUACCUACCUACCUAUUGUUUUGCUAAUAUGUACCAUCGCAAGCAUUAACACAACCUAAUGAUAGUAACCCUAUGACUAAGCCUGCAUUAAGACCCUCAAUGUGUUGUUAGACAAUUAUAUCUGUAUGCUGGCUUUACCCUCUUACUUUCCCAUCUCUGUCUCUGAACCCUGCAAUUUGUACAUAUGCAUGAUGUACAUCUGUUUAAAGCCCUCCUAUUUCUACCCCUAUACCGGACCAACCUCAAGCUGAUGAGGACUCCUUUCUGAUCUGAGUUCACUCAAGGUGUCUUUCAUUUCUUCUUUCAUUCCCUUGCCACCAUUGCCUUGUGAUUGCUUUGGGGGAUACAGGCCUUGGGCUCUAUAAAACGCUGUGUGAAAAUUUCUAAUAUAAAUUGAAAUCAAUAAUUUAGUUUAAUUAUGAGCAGACCUCAGGCAGAUGGGUCCCACACUUUAAGCUAGGUUCUACUUAAGGUUUUUCUUUUUUUGCAUCUGUGGCCUGGGUGUCAGAUCUAGGAGGUAUCUCAUAGUAAUCUUUUUUCCUUCAAUGUACAUCAUAUCAGCAUAUAUAUAUACACCUUCAAACGAGUGAACAAAACUACAUACAACAAUAUGCUCGGAAGGUUUAAUGAAA